GCUGGGCACUGUUGCUUGUGCCUGUAGUCCCAGCUACUCGGGAGGCUGAGGUAAGAGGAUCGCUUGAGCCCAGGAGUUCUGGGCUGUACUGCGCUAUGCCGAUCAGGUGUCUGCACUAAGUUUGGCAUCAAUAUGGUGACCUCCCAGGAGUGGGGGACCACCAGGUCGCCUAAGGAGGAGUGAGCCAGCCCAGGUCAGAAACAGAGCAGGUCAAAACUCCCAUGCUGAUCAGUAGUGGGAUGGCGCCUGUGAAUAGCCACUGCACUCCAGCCUGGGCAACAUAUCGAGAUCUUGUCUCU
ensembl:misc_RNA Metazoa_SRP Metazoan signal recognition particle RNA